UGUCGGAGGCGUCAUGGCGGGGUCGAAAUUUAAAACCCCGGAGACUCGACAGGGGAAACUGCCCUUGUCUGCAAAAGUUUCUGAAAGUUAAGAGACACCGGGACGAUCGCGUCCAAUAACAGGAGGAGCUCGGAAACGUAUUCAGAAAGAACAAUGCCCUCCUGUAAGGUGUGGGGAAAAAGAUGCCAGGAGAAUGUCAUCCUUUAAAACUCACCCAGAAAGGUAGAUCUACGAACCAGUAAGACAAAUUUUUCUAUUUAUUGUUUGUGGUUUUGGAUGGCCGCCGAGCCGCUUUCUCACAAACAUGCACACAUGCACUCACACUGACUUUUACAUUCUACCCCCUCUCUCUCUCUGCUGUGUAUUGAAGGUGGAUUGUCAUGGCUGCAGUGUCACGAAUGUUUGUCUGAGACUGAAAUGUUUUUUUUCUGUAUGAUUUGUGUAUUUGCUUGGCUGCCAUGCCAUGACUGUGCUUUGUGCUAUGCUACUCUGAAAUUUUCUUUUGACAACAUGACCGUCCGUCUAGCCAAUAUAGUCUUCGCAUCCAAUUUGACCAUGGCCACCCAAUUGUUCACCGGUUCGUCUAAAAUGGCCACCCUCUUUGUUUGUCUCUCUUUGUUUCUCUAUUUCCCUUUCUUUU